UAUGGCAUCUUGAGUCUUUCAGGUAUAUUUGGAGAUUUUGUGUUUUUGUAUUUUUAUUUUUUAGUGAUAGGGUCUCCCUCUGUCAUUCAGGCUGGAAUGCACUGGCACAAUCAUGGCUCACUGCUGCCAUGGACUCAUUCCUGGGCUCAAGUCAUCCUCCCACCUCAGCCUUCUGAGCAGCAAGGACUACAGAAUGCCUUGCUUUACCGCCUCUUGUAA
rnacentral:lncRNA from 13 species